rnacentral:rRNA from 1 species
UACGAAGGGGGGCUAGCGUUGCUCGGAAUCACUGGGCGUAAAGGGUGCGUAGGCGGGCUGUCAAGUCUGGGGUGAAAUCCCACGGCUCAACCGUGGAACUGCCUUAGAUACUGACGGCCUCGAGGGAGAUAGGGGCGAGCGGAACUGUGAGUGGAGCGGUGAAAUGCGUUGAUAUUCACAGGAACUCCGGUGGCGAAGGCGGCUCGCUGGAUCUUUUCUGACGCUGAGGCGCGAAAGCUAGGGGAGCAAACGGG